UUUUAUUUAUUUUUUUUAAUUUUUGAGAAUCGGCUUCUUCACGGAUUGGUAAAGCUGGCUUCAAUAUGGAAUUGGACUCUGCUUUGGGAAUGUGAUGCUACACAAUCUGAUUAAUUUUGAGACCGGCUCAUGUUUUGAACCAAGGUUUUGAGAAGGAAAAAAAUCAAUACUUUCCUAUAAAAGAGAGAGAGGGAGAAAAGAAAAUCAAUACUUGCAAACUCUUCCAUAACUCUGAUAUAAUACAAUCUGAUAAUCA
rnacentral:misc_RNA from 1 species